rnacentral:lncRNA from 1 species
UGGUCUCGGGAGGCCACCUGGGUACCGGGCCAGGGUGGCGUGGGCGCCGGAGGCCGACCGGCUCGUGCGCCGCGCCAGGACGAGGUCGCCCCGGCGCGGGGCGCGGCGUGGCGGAUGCGUCGUGGUGUCGUGCUCGAGUUCUUCGAUGCCUGGGCCGUUCUGAGCGGCUAGGCGCGCGACGGCUCGCCGGAGCAAGCAUAUGCACCGCGCGCACUGCCUGACGAUCAUGUCGUAAUGCAUUUUCUGUCGAUCAAACAAUGUUGCUGAGAUCGCUAUCUGAAGAGGAACAUAUGAUCGCGUUGAUCAGUCAUGUCCAUCGUCUAAAAAUUCAGUAGUAAUUGGAGCCAAACGAACUCCAACUAUUUGUUCAGUAAUGUUGAUUUCUUGACAUUCAAACACAUAUUGAACCUUUCUUCAGUUAAAUUAUCUUUGGAAC